rnacentral:misc_RNA from 1 species
UCUCUUUCUCUCUCUCACCUGUGAAGUAUUUUUAAGUUGGUCUGGCAUUUGUCAACAAAAAUAUUUAGGUUAUUCUGUUUUUUAAUCUUUGGGAUAAUACUAAAGAGUUGUGGAUGUAAAUAGGUCUGCUUAUUUAAUAAAAGAUGGAGAAAAAUGCAUGGUAGGUCAUUUCUAUUACUAUUGAUAAUUGGUAGAGUUCACACAGAUCUUGCAUCUACAGUCUAGUGUUACAUAACAGCCUGCAUACUUAGUGAAACAGAGGAAUAGGAAGAGAAAGAGAAAUAGAUGAGAAAAGAGAUAGAAUGGAUGAGAAAAAAAAUAGAUUUGAUGAGAAGAGAAAAGAAUAUUCAGAGUUGAGAGAAAAGUAUUCUUGUUUGUUGAUUCUUGGAAUGAAUCUCCUC